rnacentral:rRNA from 1 species
CCUACGGGGGGCAGCAGUCGAGAAUCAUUCACAAUGGGGGAAACCCUGAUGGUGCGACGCCGCGUGGGGGAAUGAAGGUCUUCGGAUUGUAAACCCCUGUCAUGUGGGAGCAAAUUAAAAAGAUCGUACCACAAGAGGAAGAGACGGCUAACUCUGUGCCAGCAGCCGCGGUAAUACAGAGGUCUCAAGCGUUGUUCGGAAUCACUGGGCGUAACGCGUGCGUAGGCUGUUUCGUAAGUCGUGUGUGAAAGGCGCGGGCUCAACCCGCGGACGGCACAUGAUACUGCGAGACUAGAGUAAUGGAGGGGGAACCGGAAUUCUCGGUGUAGCAGUGAAAUGCGUAGAUAUCGAGAGGAACACUCGUGGCGAAGGCGGGUUCCUGGACAUUAACUGACGCUGAGGCACGAAGGCCAGGGGAGCGAAAGGGAUUAGAUACCCGUGUAGUC